GGAAGGAUCAUUCACAAUGAGUGUUUUAUGGCACUCUUUAAAAAUCCAUAUCCACCUUGUGUGCAAUGUUUGUUGGGAGAGAGGCAACUCUUUCCCUUCACAAAUAUCAACCUAUAUCUUUAACAACAUUCGUCUGAUAACAUAUUAUGAAUAUACUUAAUUCAAAAUAUAACUUUCAACAACGGAUCUCUUGGCUCUCGCAUCGAUGAAGAACGCAGCGAAAUGCGAUACGUAAUGUGAAUUGCAGAAUUCAGUGAAUCAUCGAAUCUUUGAACGCAUAUUGCGCUCUUUGGUAUUCCGAAGAGCAUGCUUGUUUGAGUAUCAGUAAACACCUCAACCUCCUCUUGUUUUUUCAAAAGGAGGGUGGACUUGAGCUAUCCCAACAACCUUCACCGGUAGGCGGGCGGCUUGAAAUGCAGGUGCAGCUGGACUUUUAUCUGAGCUAAAAGCAUAUCUAUUUAGUCCUCGUCAAACAGGAUUAUUACUAUUGCUGCAGCUAACAUAAAGGAUAAUUGUCCUCAUUGCUGACUGAUGCAGGAUUUUACGACACUUUAUGUGUUGUUCAACUCGAUCUCAAAUCAAGUAAGACUACCCGCUGAACUUAAGCAUAUCAAUAAGCGGAGGAAAAGAAACUAACAAGGAUUCCCCUAGUAACGGCGAGUGAAGCGGGAUGAGCUCAAAUUUGAAAUCUGGCUGGUUUACUAGUCCGAGUUGUAAUUUAAAGAAGCGUKUUCGGUG
rnacentral:rRNA from 1 species